UACGAAAGGUGCAAGCGUUGUUCGGAAUUACUGGGCGUAAAGCGCACGUAGGCGGAUUUGCAAGUAGGAUGUGAAAUCCCCAGGCUUAACCUGGGAAUGGCAUUCUAAACUACAAAUCUUGAAUGCUUGAGAGGUUGGUGGAAUGCCUGGUGUAGGAGUGAAAUGCGUAGAUAUCAUAAGGAACACCGGUGGCGAAGGCGGUUACCUGGAAGAUUCCUGACUCUGAAACACGAAAGCCAGGGGAGCAAACGGG
rnacentral:rRNA from 1 species